rfam:Gallionellales bacterium GWE2_58_10 gwe2_scaffold_4363, whole genome shotgun sequence.
GUCCCUAUCGUCUAGAGGCCUAGGACAUCGCCCUUUCACGGCGGUAACACGAGUUCGAAUCUCGUUGGGGACG